rnacentral:siRNA from 1 species
UGGGCCUUAUAAUGGACA